rnacentral:tRNA from 1 species
CUUGUUGUGCCGGAGGCUAUACGGAGUGCCUUGAUGUGGCACGGACGGCACACUUGCCCUGCAAGA